rnacentral:rRNA from 1 species
CUGGCUCAGAGCGAACGCUGGCGGCAGGCUUAACACAUGCAAGUCGAGCGGGCCCUUCGGGGUCAGCGGCGGACGGGUGAGUAACGCGUGGGAACGUGCCUUCUGGUUCGGAAUAACCCUGGGAAACUAGGGCUAAUACCG